UCCCAUCAGCAGAUGAAACUGCCAGAUGAUCUGAUUGAUUCCUUGUGAAGUUGUGAGAGGAUAGAGGAGGAGCAGCCAUCAGAUCAUGCUGGCAGCUUCAGCUGCUUUUGAU
rnacentral:pre_miRNA from 1 species